UACAGAGGGGGCAAGCGUUAUUCGGAAUUAUUGGGCGUAAAGGGCGCGUAGGCGGCCUGGCAAGUGGAAGGUAAAAUCCCUCGGCUUAACCGAGGAACUGCCCUCCAAACUGCUUGGCUUGAGUCCGGGAGAGGUGAGUGGAAUUCCCAGUGUAGCGGUGAAAUGCGUAGAUAUUGGGAGGAACACCAGUGGCGAAGGCUGCUCACUGGACCGGAACUGACGCUGAGGCGCGAAAGCGUGGGGAGCAAACGGG
rnacentral:rRNA from 1 species